rnacentral:lncRNA from 1 species
GGAAUAGAGCAGCUUCUAGUAACAAUCCCCGAACCUCUUUCAGCCGCUGGAGAAGUCCAGCCUGCCCACAGGACAGAGGAGGGUGACGCUUCCUCUGAGGAGCCUGGAGGCCAGGGCACAGCUGGCCACCCUAGGAGGUUUUCAGCGCCAUGGGCUGCAGUUCUGCCUGCUCUGCUGUCUCCCAGGGUCGUGAUGACAGCGCACCCAUGUGCUGAGAGAGUCCACGUAGUGACAGAGAGGACAGGGAAGGAGCAGCUGGGAGGGAGGGAGGAAGGGCCAGAGCCGCAGAGGCAGUGGGUGGGACCGGCAGCCAGUGCUCCCCCGUAGACAGAGGGAAGGUUCAGGGGACAGGCUGGCUUCCUAGUAAACAGUGCAGCCAACUCUAAAAAUACCCCUGCUCCAGACAGGCACCCUGAGCAACUCAGGUCUGCUCCAGCCUUCAGGGACCUCAGCCCCUUCCCUGGAAGGUCAAGGGGAUGGGAGGAAAGUCAACUUGUAAAGAGUAGGAUUUCCUUAGGGAGGAAACGAUAACAAUAUUUCCUUCCUCUGCAAAACAGAAGGGGGACACUCAGAUUUUAGCAGCAGCAACAACAAAAGGCAAGAGGCAGCUUACCUUGUUCCUUUGGUAGUUAUCUGAGGUCUGGGCUCAGCUCAGGUCUAAGGCCUAGAGAUGCAUUCACAGCCUGGGAUCAGGGAGCCGGGAGGAGGGCCAGGCUGGAAUCUCUAGCUGUUCCCCUUCUUAGGUGUGUGACUAUGACUCACCAUUUGAUGCCUCAGUUUCCACAAUUAUAAAUGGGAAUAAUGAUAAUGUUUACUUCACUCGGGUGUGGGGAGGAUUAAAUGAGGUGCUAUAUAUAAGGCUCUUAGCACACCAUGCCUGACCUGUGGGGAACACCCAGAAAGGUCUUAUUAUUAGGGUAUGUGGGAGGCUGUAACUGUGCCUCAAUUCUAAGACGUAGUUUAAAGGAAGAUUUAGUCAGAAGAUCAAGGGAGUGGUAUUGGAUACAAAGACAUGGGAAAGGUCUGAAUCAUAGAAAAGUCAAAUCCACUAUUGGACAGAUGGGGAAACGGAGGCCUGGGGAGCAGAAAGUAGAAGUUGCGCCAGGCCAGGCAUUGUCUUAGCAGCUGUAGGUUUAAUGUAAAAUAAUGGUGUGAUGAGACCGCUAAAAACCCUGGUGACAGGCAGGCUGCCCCGCUAGGAGUUAGGAGAAUGAGGCCUUGCAUUAUAUAGCACUUUUCUUUCUUUUUUUUCCCCAUUUAUAAUGAUUUUUAUUUUUUCCAUUAUAGCUGGUUUACAGUGUUCUGUUAAUUUUCUACUGUACAGUAAGGUGAUCCAGUUACAGAACUCAUCCCUAGGGCUGGUGACUGAGUUAUCACUGCAGACGGCACCCUUGAACCCAUGGGGGAGAGGCACAGGCAGGAAGAGCUUAGCUCGGCCUAAAGGAGAAUCUUCUAAACCUGUGUUCUACGUAUGGUAGACACUAGCUAGAUGUGGCCAUGGGGUGCCUGAAAUGUGGCUAGUCUGGAUUUUAAAGACAAUAAUAAAAAAAGGUAAAAUAUCGCCAUCAUUUUUUAUUGGUUCCAUACUGAAAUGUUAUUUUUAGAUCCAUUGAGGGUAAAUAAUAUAUAUUGUUAAAAUGAAUUUUGCCUGUCCUUUUUAGUUUUUUUCUUGUGGCUUCUAGAAAGCUUAGAGCCAUACUUGGGGCUUGCAGUAUCUUUCGAUUGGGCAGUGCUGUUCUAACCAGUGCAUUUGUACAACAAUGGAACAAGCUGUCUGGCCAGGUAGUGAGCCUCUCAUUCUUGGAGAUGUUUUAAAAAGUUGUUGUUCAUAGAAUUCUUAUAGUUAGUGGGAUAAACUCUGUAAUCCCUUUAAUUCUGCUUCAGUUGUGGUUCCCAGCUGUGAGUCUCCGAGGAGCACUUGCCUCUUAGACCAUGAAAAGAUGUUACAGGAAAAAAGACUGAUGGUCCAUUUAAUAUGGGAAAUUCUUGGUUGGAAAAAAAAAAAAAGUUAAGUUUUUCUCACUCCAGGACUUCACAGAACUUUCUAGAUACAAAAUUACACUGUGGGUCUUUAUGACAGGGACACUGUAGUCAGCAUUCCCCAUAUUAAAUUGGUCACAGAACAUGACCAGGAAAUAAUUUAUUAUUAAGUUCAUUCCUUAAGAAUUGCUGGCCUCAAGUUCUUAAAAAAAAUUAAAAUAAAUAAAUAAAUAGAGUCGGGAGCUCCCAUUGUGGCUCAGUGGUAAUGAACCUGACUAGUAUGCAUGGAAAGAGGAUUCGCUCAAUCCUUGGCCUUGCUCAGUGGGUUAAGGAUCCAGCAUUGCCAUGAGCUGUGGUGUAGGUUGAAGAUGCGUCUCAGAUCCAGCGUUGCUGUGGCUGUGGCGUAGGCCGCCAACUGUAGCUCUGAUUCAACCCCUAGCCUGGGAACUUCCAUAUGCCAUGGGUGUGGCCCUAAAAAGACA